GACGAACGCUGGCGGCGUGCCUAAUACAUGCAAGUCGAACGCAUUUUCUUUCACCGUAGCUUGCUACACCGAAAGAAAAUGAGUGGCGAACGGGUGAGUAACACGUGGGUAACCUGCCCAUCAGCGGGGGAUAACACUUGGAAACAGGUGCUAAUACCGCAUAAUUCCAUUUACCGCAUGGUAAAUGGAUGAAAGGCGCUUUUGCGUCACUGAUGGAUGGACCCGCGGUGCAUUAGCUAGUUGGUGGGGUAACGGCCUACCAAGGCUGCGAUGCAUAGCCGCCCUGAGGGGGUGAUCGGCCACACUGGGACUGAACCACGGCCCAGACUCCUACGGGAGGCAGCAGUAGGGAAUCUUCGGCAAUGGACGCAAGUCUGACCGAGCAACGCCGCGUGAGUGAAAAAGGUUUUCGGAUCGUAAACCUCUUUUGUUAGGGAAAAACAAGGAUGGGAGUGGAAAGUUCCCCCCUUGACGGUAUUAAACCAGAAAGCCCCGGCUACCUCCGU
rnacentral:rRNA from 1 species